ACCUGAAGUCAUCUAGUGCCAUCUAGUGUCCACUUUAAAGAAAUGUACUUUAAUACUACAGUAAAUUGGCACUGAAACUUCAGGUACCUUCUAUCCAUCAAAGUCCUGGACCAGCACCGACCCCCGGAUCAUCUCCACCAAAACAGCACUGCACGCCAUGACUCUGAGGCAGGACGAAUGAGAAAUCAAGAAUGAGAGGGAAUCGAUGAUGAAGCUCGUGUUUCUCUGAUCAGAUUAGUGGAGCGUUUAAGGAGCACGGGGUGAGAGAGAAAAGCAGGAUAAGACAAGCAGCAUGUUUUUGCUUUUGUUGGUCUGCUGGCUGUUGUUUGGAGGUUCUCACACUGAGAUGAACUAAUACCAGGAGCUGCUACAUUGUCUUCCAAACAAUGGUUUACCUCCUCAGGUCAUUGGAAAGUACCAUUUUUCCUAGUGCCCCUCCUAGCUGUACCCAGCUUAUAAAGGUAA